AUGUCUGAAGGCUUUAGGUCAUGGACGGCAAAUUUAGCUAGGUCACGGACGGCACAUUUAGCUAGGUCACAGACAACACAUUUAGCUAGGUCACAGACAACACAUUUAGCUAGGUCACAGACAACACAUUUAGCUAGGUCACGGACGGCACAUUUAGCUCGGUCACGGACAACACAUUUAGCUAGGUCACGGACAACACAUUUAGCUAGGUCACAGACAACACAUUUAGCUAGGUCACAGACAACACAUUUAGCUAGGUCACGGACGGCACAUUUAGCUCGGUCACGGACAACACAUUUAGUUAGGUCACGGACGGCACAUUUAGCUAGGUCACGGACGGCACAUUUAGCUAGGUCACGGACGGCACAUUUAGCUAGAUCACGGACAACACAUUUAGCUAGGUCACAGACAACGCAUUUAGCUAGGUCACAGACAACACGAUUAGCUAGGUCACAGGCGGCACAUUUAGCUCGGUCACGGACAACACAUUUAGAUCGGUCACGGACAACACAUUUAGCUAGGUCACGGACAACACAUUUAGCUAGGUUAUGGACAACACAUUUAGCUAGGUCACGGACAACACAUUUAGCUAGGUCACGGACAACACAUUUAGCUAGGUUAUGGACAACACAUUUAGCUAGGUCACGGACAGCACAUUUAGCUAGGUCACGGAUGGCACAUUUAGCUAGGUCACGGACGGCACAUUUAGCUAGGUCACGGACAACACAUUUAGCUAGGUCACAGACAACGCAUUUAGCUAGGUCACGGACAACACGAUUAGCUAGGUCACAGGCGGCACAUUUAGCUCGGUCACAGACAACACAUUUAGUUCGGUCACGGACAACACAUUUAGCUAGGUCACGGACAACACAUUUAGCUAGGUUAUGGACAACACAUUUAGCUAGGUCACGGACAACACAUUUAGCUAGGUCACGGACAACACAUUUAGCUAGGUUAUGGACAACACAUUUAGCUAGGUCACGGACAGCACAUUUAGCUAGGUCACGGACGGCACAUUUAGCUAGGUCACGGACGGCACAUUUAGCUAGGUCACGGACAACACAUUUAGCUCGGUCACGGACGGCACAUUUAGCUAGGUCAUGGACGGCACAUUUAGCUAGGUCACGGACAGCACGUUUAGCUAGGUCACGGAUGGCACGUUUAGCUAGUUCACGUAUGGCACAUAAAAGGCUUUGGGAACCACCAGUAUAA
rnacentral:lncRNA from 1 species